CUUCUUUCUGCUCCUGUCGCCAUGGCCCCGGCCUCGGCGCUCAAGCGACCCUCUCGCUCCGCCCAGACCCCUGGAUGCCCAGCUGCCGCACCUCCCGUGGCCCCACGCUGUGGCUACGUGUUGUCUGAAGACGCCUGGGGAAACCUUCAGGGCCUCUGUACUGGCCUGUCAUGUGGUCAACCAGUGUGAACAUCGAGGUGUCUGGGUUCAUGGAAGCUGGUGAAGAAACCACCUACAACUAUACCAUGUCCUGUCCCUAUUUCACAUGGGCCUCGAGGAAGAUUCUCUGAAGGGAACUACAUGGAGAUCUCCUUGAUUGCACGGUCAACCCCGCUCCUGUCUGUCAGGCUCAGGAACCACUUACAAGCUAUGGCAGGUGAUGUUCCAGCAUCCCACAGGGAGGAUUAUGCUGGUGAGCCACAUGGCCAAGCAGGACUAUGGCUUCAACAGCUCUGGGGCCUGCAUGUUCCUGCAUUAGCCCUACUCCAGCAAUGAGGCUGAAGUUACCAGAGUGACAUCAUGGUAUCUGGUGCAAGCUAUAGCAUCCACCUAUUCUUGGAGCACACGUGGUCAGACACUGAUUGGCAUGUGACCAAGUUGAUGGUGGUCAAAACAGAACUCCUUUCAUGCCCACAAGCUUCAGUAUUACUAUGUUCCCUGCCACUUCCGUUGAAGUUUUGCAGGAUUGGGAUGAUCCUUUGGUGUGAACGAAGCCCCAAAGAGGACCACGUGGAGAGUGCCUGACUGUUCCUGUGAUGUCUUCUAGUACAUGAACAGGAAUGAAACCCACUAUGUCCUCCAUGUGAACUACAUGCUGAGCGUGGGUCCAGAUGGGAAACCAUUCUCCUACCCUGCAGAAAUGGUAUAUAGUUUCAAGGAUGUGGGACUUCCCCAGGCCAUUGGCACCUGUGACAGUGAGAACCUAUACUUGGCCACCCCAGUAACUGACCUGCUCUCCUGUUGGAGCUCUACAUGGGACACCAGCUCCCAUGCAUUUAUCCCUUUUCAGACCUCACUGGUGAGAAGCUGGGCUUCUGGGUCCCCAUGCUGCUUCAUCCCACCUCCCAACCCUGUCUUCAGGCCCACUGCUGAUCCCAGUCUAGAACCACAGCACCGCCCCCAUCCUGCAUGAAGAAGGCCUUGUGCAUCUGCCUUGGUGAGAUCUUUCCAGGCUGACUGGUCUGUACUCCCUGGGGAGAUGAUCGAGACCAGCUCACACUGCUGUGUGUCACAUCCAUACCUUCUAUGGGAAAACUAACCCCCCUCGCCUCCUAUGUGAAGUCUCAGGCUUCACAGCCCAUUUCAAAUGCUGUUUCUCCUAUAACCACAUAGCCUGCCAACCACUGGAUCUCCUUUCUGGUUCCUCCCUCUCCCCCCAACUUUUUCCUUUUGAACUCUCAUAAUCAGAGCCAUAACCAUUUUCUGCCUUGCACUAGUUACUUGUCCUUGACUGUCUUUAUUUUCCCUUCUGAGCUGACUUUCUUGAAGGCAGGGCCCCCAACCUGAUCACCAUGCCUCAGAUAGUAUCCAGGUUUUGCCUUCAGCCCCUCAAAUAAUACAUAUAAAAAUGAACAAAUUCCAAUAUUUAUCCACAACCUACUUGAUGGCCUAAAAAUGCAUUUUAAAUGGGUGUGUCUGAGGUAACUUGUGAAAAGCCCUGGGGUCAGGAGCCAAGUCCUACCUCAAGGAGCAGCAUAAAGGCUUAGCCCAGCCUCGUCCAAGGACUGCCAGGUAAAAUAGAGAACAGACUUUGAUCAAAAUAUGGUUGGAAACAGGAUGGUUGUGAGAACUAUGGUUGUGUUCCUAGUGUGUUUCCCUAGUGGGACUGUGGCCAUCUCUUCCAUGAUGGCCACAGACCCUUCCAUUGACAUGUGCAAGGCCACACUGAAGGAUUGCACCUGCAAGCCAACAGAGUCUAGCAGCAACCAAACCUUCUUCUGACUUGACGUCACCAGCCGUGGUACCUCAGUGAGGGUGAGUAAGGCAAAAGGGCCACCUGCUCCUGCCAGGCCUUAGCAUACCAUCUAAGCUUUUUCUUCUCAGUCCUGUGGUAUUGUUCCAUUUUCACACUGCUGAUAAAGACAUACCUGAGACUGGGCAAUUUACAAAAGAAAAAGGGUUAAUGGACUGACAGUUCCACAUGGCUGGGGAGGCCUCAUGAUCAUGUCAGAAGGUGAAAGGCAUGUCUCACAUGGCAGCAGAUGAGAAGAGAAGACUUGUGCAGGGAAACUCCCCUUUAAAAAACCAUCAGAUCUCAUGAGACUUAUUCACUAUCACAAGAAAAGCACAGGAAAGACCUGCCCCCAUGAUUCAAUUACCUCCCACUGGGUUCCUUCUACAACAUGUGGGAAUUGUGAGAGCUACAAUUCAAGAUGACAUUUGGGUGGAGACACAGCCAAACCGUAUCACCCAUGUUCUCCAUAUGCUCUAAAAUCUUGGGUUAUGUAGUUUGAAGGUGACUAUAUUAUAUAUGAAAAGGGAAUCAUGUAUGAGAAGGAACCCUUGCUAUGAAGGGCUGGCCCACAAUUACAAGAUAUCCAGACUACAGGUGAGAUGGCCACUGUAUGAAUGGAAGUCAGCUGUGCCCCUGAGCUUCAUCUCACUGUUGUCCCCACCCCUGUCCUCAGGAAAUUCCAGCUGACUAGGGAAGAGAAUGCCAGUGUAUAGUUUGCAGCAGGAGGAACUCAAAACAUCAGUGACAGUGCCCCAAAAUGCUUCAGUUUCCAUGUUCUCUUUUUCAUUUUUUAGGUCCUAUUUUACUUCCUUACCUAAUACUUAUUAUAUUGGAGGUAUGAUGUAAAUUGGAGUAAUACUGACAGACCUUCUUCUUUGAUAGACUAAGCAGUGUUGCUAGAAACAAAUCAUUGCAUAACUAAAUCAUGAUCCACCAUGCACAUAGCCCACCAACCAAUGGAGAAGACCAGCAGAACAGAUAGUAGGCUAUCUCUUCCAGCCUCAAGCCCCAAUGCUGUCAUUCCUAAGUUGAGACGUUGAAGUCUCUUUGCCUCCCUGGUACAGAGUCUGUUUGCCUUGUCUUGUCCAUGAACCAGAGUUCCUUCAAGUCCUUUCUUGCUCUGCAGUUCUACAAACCAGUGAGCCUGCUCUUGCCUCCAUGCUUGUCCUAGGCUGAUGCUGCUCUGCUACUACUCAGUUAAAGAAACAUUGGCCCAAGAGGACAGGCACAAGGACAGGUGGAAGAAGAAAGCUGUCCUGCCACCAGGAGAUGGCAUGGUGGUAUGGCAGUCCCAGCAGGGCCUCAGAGAGAGCAGACAGACACUGGAGAUCCAGGCAAGAGUAGCUCAAGCUGCAAAAAAGAGAAUAACCUGCUAGAGGUAGACUUUUACCCUGUCUCCCAGGGUGAGAAGGUCCAAUACCCCUCAUUGGUCAAGAAGCUGGUGAAGUUUGUGGCACCCAGAUUCAAAGAGGUGUAUCUGUACCACCUGACCCAAUCCUGCCUACACUUGGACCCUGACGGGCAUUGUGGUGGCCAGUACUAUCCAGAGGAGAGAGAAGGAGUGACUCCAGGACUUAUAUGCCCACAAGCCAAAAGAAGAUCAAGAUCUGAGUGGGAACUGUGGAAAGCAUGUCAUGCGAGCCCCUGCCGCCCUUGAAACUCUGCGUUCCUCCUCCUCAAAGAACAGUGCCUGAAGGUCCUGGCUGUGGCCCUGGCUGGCCAUCUUGCUUCCUGGUCACGGUGGUGGCCACUGUGCUGGUCCUGUCCAAGAUGACCUGUACAUCAUUCCAUGAAUGACACGUGACAACAGCUUCCCAGUGUAAUAAGCACAUUUAACCCAGCACUUGUCAGCCCCACUGUUCUGUUGGAAGUGUUCUAUCUCACUGAUCUUGCCUCUCCUAAAGCAAGGGACAACUCCUGGCACUCCGCUGCAGAGGCCCUUGAAGCCUGUUGGAAUUUUAGUGAAAUGAGAUGCCUGGCUUAAGCCAUGUUGCCUGGCUUCUCAAGUACCAGCGGACAUAUUACUAGCAAGGAAGAAGGCUAGCAGCAAGAAUGGUUAUUGCAUCCUAGAGGCAUUUAGUGGAGGAGAAAACUGCCCUGGUACCGCCAUAGCCCUAAGUGCUGCCCAGAGUUCUGAGCUCUCGAUGAGCACUUGGAACACGUCUGCCUGCAGCCUCCCUACACUUUUUUAUGACUUGUCCUACUUGUCAAGCCCAGCUUGUCCCACUUCUCCACAUGAGUCUUCCAGUGACAUCUUUGUGACCAUCUCCACCCCCUGGGUAAAUGCUCCACGCUGGGAGUCCACAAAACACAGUCUGACUUAGAGAUUCUCUGGCAUGACUCUCUUCCCCACUGUGUACACUGACUGCCUUAGAUGUAGGCCUCUUGUUUGGGGCCCUUCCUGGCCAGACCCUGAAGCAGCCUCUGAGGAGGGUGGUAAGAAUGGUUCCCUAGAGCCCAGUUACAGAGUCUGCCUCCUUUCCAGAUCAUGCUGUAAUGGACUGAGAUCUCAACUCAGCCCACACUCUUUCCUGGCCUACAUAGCCGUCUCAGAAGGGCAAUGUUUCUCGCUGUUAAAGCGGGUGGUCCCUCUUGCUAACCUAGCUGAGCAUCAGGUACUGGUUAGCUGUAAGGGCUGGGAAGUGGGGGGUGUACCCAUUGGCCUUGGUGAUGAAGACAGCCAGGUAUCCAAGUCCCAGCCGGGACUCCUGCUGGGCCAUAAAGGCUUCAAUAUGCUGGCUUCUCCCCAUUGAGGACCUCAGGCCCCAGUUCAUUAUCAGGAUUUUAGAAAUACCAAGAACAUCAAAAGAACAGAAAAGAGGCCCUUAAGGGACUCCUAAUAAGAUAGAAUUUGCAUGUCCUCAUUGGACUAGAACCUGAACUGCUUUAAAAAGCAAAAGGCCCUUGGUACAAUCUGAUGGAUGUGACUGUACAGAGAAGAGGAAACACCUCUGAGGGGAGUGAGAGGCCUUGGUAAGGAAGUUGCAAUCUGGAGCCACCUGGGCAGGUCAGAGCUCUAUAAGCAGGAGAAGCCAAGGGCAUAACACACAGUAGUGCAGGUGUCAGCCAGGAAUCAAGGCUAUGACAGCUGGAGUCCCGGGCCAAGAACUACAGGGGGAAGGAGGAGAAAUGCUUGUUCCCCCAACUCCUAUCUCCUGCCAUGGGGGUGGACUUCUACUAGCUAUGACAUUCCUACCAUCUCUCUGCCUCUUCCCUCUCUCUUUUCUCUCUGCCCCACCCUGGGACACGGUGACUUCCCUGAUGCUAGGGGGAGGGGAUGGUGUGGGUUAAAAAAAAAAAAACAAGCUGCAUAGCUCAGCCCCUUCCUCUCUCCCCUCACUCUCCUGGGGGUGCCUGCUUUCAGAGUCUGUGCAGCUCUUGUCUCCUUCUUACCAUAACCCUACCUGGGCGGCAGCAGCCGCCGCCCACACCCUCCCCUACCCCCAUGGCACUGCCUGCCACAUCCAGGACCAUUUCCGAAUUCUGAGGCUCUGUUGUCGGAGUGUCCCCUCUAAGCUGCAUCCUGCAACCCAGUCCUAUUCCCAGAGAAGCCCAACAUCCCCUCUGGAUCUGCCUGUCUGCAUUACCGUUUGGUUCAAAACCCAGUGCUGGUUACUGGGCCUCUCAGGACACCAGGGAGGCUGGGCUGGGGAGGACUGGUGGGCGAGCUGUCCCCUCCACAUUCUGCCAAUGCCUGGGACGUGAAACUCAUUCCUGUUUCCAUGAGACUCGUAUCCUUAAUGUCCCUUUUGACUUCAGCUAAUUCUGAGUAAGUUUUUGACCCUCGCACCUAAAUUUGGCCCAAGGCAGAAACAGCGGGGAUUGGCUUCUCUGACGGCUGAGUCACUUGUCUUCCUGUCUUCUCCCUCAUAUUCCACUUCUUGUGGGCGUGAAUUAAAGUAGAACCAGGCAGGCGACACUCUCCUGUUGGUGACCAGCGUUCCACAGUAAAAUGGGGUGUGACAGCAGCUGGCAGAGCAGCAGCCUGCCCGGGGCUGUGGGCCACAUCCCCCCUCCACCCCAACCAAGCAGCCUGCCCUGCCCUGGUGCCAGGCGCCAAUCGGCUGAGCAAAAUAGGCUGAACUCAGGCCCUGCGAGGCCAGGACGGCGCCUAUCAAGAACUCCUGUUCCCUCCAGGGCAAGAAGAGGGAGGAGCGAGGCUUGCCCUGAGCGGAGGGGCUUCAAAACUGAGCCCUGGGCAAAAUGGGGCAAGUUGGUCACCCUAGAGGGAGCUUAGGUUUAAGGAAAAGAAUCUGGGACCUUCUAGCUUUGACUCCAGUCUAACAUAACUCUCUGAUUGUCCCUUUAGUAAAAUAGAAAUAAUGUCAGUCUUGAAAGAAUGUCAUGAGGCUUUCAUGAGGACACAUGGAAAUGGCAGACAUUUGUCUUGCUGGAAGGUUCUCCCGUUUCCCCGCCCCUAUUCCAGGUAGGUUGCUGUCCUCAGUACCUGAGGUUUUAUGUGGAAUCACCAUUCUCCUUCCCAUGAUUGUAAGUCAGAUUAUAAGCAGCAUUUGAGUAGAUGGAAAUGUGAUUAGGUCUAUGUCCCUCAUCCCAACAUUCUUUAUGCCAGCUUUCAUUCCCACAGCUCCAGCUGGAGACAUGCACCCACAACUUAGCAGUGCCUUGGGGUGUCCUGUCUACUGCAGGACGUCUUCAGUGCCCAUAACGUUCUUCUCCAAAUUAGGUUUCUGAGCCUUUGCAUAUUACAUCACAGGGCUGGGCCCAUGGGACUGCAAUCCGGGAGGAUGGUCCUAGGCACAAAAUUGAAUCUUGAGAUAGGUCUAAGGUUUGCCAUCAGGAUUAAUGAAAAUAAGUGUACACCGGGGCAUGCUUCACUAACUGGAAGUCACUAUUAUUAAACUGAGAACCGGAAGGGCUAGAUCUGGUCAUAAUUCUGUUAACCAACUGCAUAACCUUUAAGCCGGAACCUUUACCUGUAAAAUAAAGGAGUAGAUGAUUUCUCCAGUUCCUUCCCGCUCAAGUGUCCUAUGACUGAUUAAAAUUAUGUGUCCAUUAAGCAGCUCAAAAGGAAUUAUGUCUGGCUAUCUGAAAGCUCACAGCCAGCCAAGGAGGAAGUGCACUAAAGGCGAGGCCCGGCUGCUCCCCAGCCCAGCACUGCUCGCUGCUGUGUUAAUUGACAAUGAUGGAACAAAGCACAUUUUAUGAGAGUUCAUGAGUAGGAAGUCCAAGGAGCCUAUACAUUAGUCACGUCUGAAAAUCUUCCUUGCUGGUCCUGCAAGCCAGAGGAGCUGGCCACUGCCACUUACCCAGAUGAAGGACAUGUCGAUCCAGAAAAGGGAACAGUUAGCCAACAUUGCUUUAUUUGCUCAAUCGUAAUAACUUUUUCCAGGGAGAAAACCCACGUAAAACUAUUGGAGACAGAAUUCUGGAUCAAGUCAGGCCACAACAUAAAAUUACAUGGUAACAAUGGUCUCCAAUUUGAGAGAAGCAGCAUAAUGCACCCCAACCUCCCACAAAAA
rnacentral:lncRNA from 1 species